rnacentral:lncRNA from 13 species
AUGACGGGGAGCGCUAGUUCUUUUUAUUGGAAAAUUGAAUUACAAAUGGAGACAUGGGCCUGGAUCGCUCCUGUAGCAUCUGUCUUCAUGACCUUGCCUGCUGGCAGAGCAAAUAAAUCUGCGUAUACUGAUUCAUAUAUAUACUAUGAUACUACAGUAAUUUCACUUCCAAGAGGAAAUCUGCUGUGCCUCACCAGUUUGACCUGCCUCUCUUCCAAGCCCCUGGAUUGAAUAGUUUGCCAGUGAAGUCAUCUCAUCUAGCACAGAGCCU